CGAAGACGGUGAACUUUGUCUUGAGACAGUCAGCUAUCUUCAAAGCCCUCCGUCAUAGGAGCCUAAUGGGCCAGAACAAAUCAACCAUGGCAGAUGAUUCAGUUCGAUUUCAGAGCCAGUCUCUUCACACAACACCGUCUUCAGCUGACCGAAUGCCCACAAGACAGCCAAUCAAGCCGGACCCUUUGGAGCUGCAGCCAGUCAAACAAACAGCAGAUAGACUCCGCGCAGACAUUCACAUACGGGUAACUUGGACACCUUUGAUGAUUUUCUUCCCAGCAGCAGAGCUGCAAUGACGACAUUUCACUCGCCUCACAUGUCGGCUGACGGCACAUCUAACCUUCGGGAUGAUUUAGAAAUUAUUUCUGUUAACGAGCCGGAAGAAAAUGGAAGGAAUCCGAUUGCUGCAAGAGAAGGCGUGGGCGCGGUUGGUGAAAUGAAGGACGAAGAACUUGCUUGGAAAUUGUGGUGUAAGUAGAAUGAAGCUGUACAGAAAUGUUUUCCUGGCAGAUAUCAUGACGAUGAUAAGCAGCUGGCGAGAAUUCUGCAAGAAGAGUUUGAUCUAGAAGCGAGGCAUAUACGAGAACAAAAUGUCAUUACUCAGAUUGAAGAACUAAUUUCACAACAUGGAAUUAGGAUACUUCAGGAUAGUCAGAGAUGACCAGUCCCAGUAAUGAAUAAUUUGCAGUCAACACGUUUAUCAGAUCGUGCUAAGGAGAAGGAUGUGUACACAUAGAAUCAGAGCAUCAUCGCAUAAGAGAACAACUAGGCAGGGACUUGCUCGAAAUAGACGCUACUUAGCAAGCCUGAAAGACACAAGGAACAACAAACACGUCAACAGAAUGUUAUCUCUAGAUGAAAUAACUAUGGAAGACGUUGUACGUCAUAUGAGUUGCCAUUGAGACAGUAGAAUCAGCAAGCAUUGAACUAAGUAAUCCGUUGAGUUUGAACAACAGCACAAGUCAAGAUUAUGUUCACUUGUCUAAAGAUCGGCGAGCAGUUGCUGAUACACCACUAUUGAUGAUCAAUGACAUUUGAAGUGAGAUUAUCGUAGAUGAGAAAGAGCUACCUUCACUGGAGAUUAUUGAAAGCCCGCAUCUAUCACGGUCAUCGAGAGGAAGAAUUGAACUCCCAUAUCUUCCAUUACAGCAUCGUUUAGCACGACCGGAGCGAGCAGAUGUUGAGGAGCAUCCUCUUCUGCAACUAAUACGUGCUAUGCCGUCGCCCACGUUCUUCGAGGAUCUCAUAGAUAUUGAAGAGAGGCUCGGAUGCGUGAUGAGAGGAGCAGAUGAAAGGAUGAUCAGAUCUACAACCUGUGCUCACAAGUUUAUUAAGCAUCAACAAUUUCUGUUGUUUCAAUUGACACUUUGUGAUGUGCCUUUCUGAUUUCAAUUUUCUGCUUGUGAAGACAACAGUUAUGAUGCCCUUGUGAACUGUCAUCUGCCCUUUGUCUGUCCGUGUUUGUUGAACGUACAAUAAAUGCAG